UACAGAGGUGGCAAGCGUUGUUCGGAAUUACUGGGCGUAAAGGGCGCGUAGGCGGCCUUCUAAGUCAGACGUGAAAUCCCCAGGCUUAACUUGGGAACUGCGUCUGAUACUGGGAGGCUUGAGUGCGGGAGAGGGAUGUGGAAUUCCAGGUGUAGCGGUGAAAUGCGUAGAGAUCGGGAGGAACACCUGUGGCGAAGGCGGCCGACUGGGCCGACCCUGACGCUGAGGCGCGAAGGCGUGGGGAGCGAACGGG
rnacentral:rRNA from 1 species